CUGUCAAUCGUCCUUCCUUUUUUUUCGAUCUCUGCCCCAUAGUAGACGCAAAGCUCGUAACAAAUAUAAAAACAAAUCUUAAAAAUAAGUCGCAAUCCGUUUAUUUAGAAACCAAAAUACGCUUGCAACAAAUAAAUAAAAACGAAUAUUAAAACACGUUAAUAUAAUUGGCGCCCAACCUAAACAAAAAGUGCCCACCGUUUUAAAAAACAAUUCUAGGUCAAUAAUACAAUUGAAAUAAAAACCCAAAGAGUUUAAACUAUGUGGAAAAAAUUAUUAUUACACAAAAUAACAACAAGGUCACGUCACUGGACUGGUGACGGCAGCGGCUAAGCAACUAUUUGUAAGACGAGAUGCAGCCGCAACCAACAAGGAAAAAACCCACUAAAUACCGUCUGCCACAAUUCAGGAACAACAGAGCAUAGAAAAAUCAUUAGCAGAAAAAUGAAAAUAAUCUGGUGGUGGCAAUUGGAGGUGACAACGCUGUAACACAAUAAAGACAAACCGAGCAGGUUAAUGACGACGACUUGUGCGUUGCUAUGGGUAGCAAAAGUUUGUGUUGGAAUUUUCAGAUGAAUAUACAAAUGACGCCUUAGUACCUCAAAUCUGAGAAAAACGAUCAUUGUGUAGAAGGAUUUGAAGCUGUUGGGUUUCUCCAGUGUUUGUGUUGGAUUGGUGGUUGCCAUAUUGAAAUAAAGCCUGCGGCAAUUGAGUCAGUCGAUUAACACAACUACAAAG